rnacentral:rRNA from 1 species
AACCAGACUCCUACGGGAGGCAGCAGUGGGGAAUAUUGCACAAUGGGGGAAACCCUGAUGCAGCGACGCCGCGUGAGCGAUGAAGUAUUUCGGUAUGUAAAGCUCUAUCAGCAGGGAAGAAAAUGACGGUACCUGGCUAAGAAGCCCCGGCUAACUACGUGCCAGCAGCCGCGGUAAUACGUAGGGGGCAGGCGUUAUCCGGAUUUACUGGGUGUAAAGGGAGCGUAGACGGCCAUUCAAGCCAGAUGUGAAAGCCCGGGGGUCAACCCCGGGACUGCAUUUGGAACUGUGUGGCUAGAGGGGCGGAGAGGCAGGCGGAAUUCCUAGUGUAGCGGUGAAAUGCGGAGAUAUUAGGAGGAACACCAGUGGCGAAGGCGGCCUGCUGGACGAUGGCUGACGUUGAGGCUCGAAAGCGUGGGGAGCAAACAGGAUUAGAUACCCCAGUAA